GGCCUAACACAUGCAAGUCGAACGGUAGCACAGAGAGCUUGCUCUCGGGUGACGAGUGGCGGACGGGUGAGUAAUGUCUGGGAAACUGCCUGAUGGAGGGGGAUAACUACUGGAAACGGUAGCUAAUACCGCAUAACGUCGCAAGACCAAAGAGGGGGACCUUCGGGCCUCUUGCCAUCAGAUGUGCCCAGAUGGGAUUAGCUAGUAGGUGGGGUAAUGGCUCACCUAGGCGACGAUCCCUAGCUGGUCUGAGAGGAUGACCAGCCACACUGGAACUGAGACACGGUCCAGACUCCUACGGGAGGCAGCAGUGGGGAAUAUUGCACAAUGGGCGCAAGCCUGAUGCAGCCAUGCCGCGUGUAUGAAGAAGGCCUUCGGGUUGUAAAGUACUUUCAGCGGGGAGGAAGGUGUUGUGGUUAAUAACCGCAGCAAUUGACGUUACCCGCAGAAGAAGCACCGGCUAACUCCGUGCCAGCAGCCGCGGUAAUACGGAGGGUGCAAGCGUUAAUCGGAAUUACUGGGCGUAAAGCGCACGCAGGCGGUCUGUCAAGUCGGAUGUGAAAUCCCCGGGCUCAACCUGGGAACUACAUUCGAAACUGGCAGGCUAGAGUCUUGUAGAGGGGGGUAGAAUUCCAGGUGUAGCGGUGAAAUGCGUAGAGAUCUGGAGGAAUACCGGUGGCGAAGGC
rnacentral:rRNA from 1 species